rnacentral:misc_RNA from 1 species
GUAACAAGGUUUCCGUAGGUGAACCUGCGGAAGGAUCAUUACUGAGUGCGGGCUGCCUCCGGGCGCCCAACCUCCCACCCCGUGACUACCUAACACUGUUGCUUCGGCGGGGAGCCCUCUCGGGGGCGAGCCGCCGGGGACUACUGAACUUCAUGCCUGAGAGUGAUGCAGUCUGAGUCUGAAUAUAAAAUCAGUCAAAACUUUCAACAAUGGAUCUCUUGGUUCCGGCAUCGAUGAAGAACGCAGCGAACUGCGAUAAGUAAUGUGAAUUGCAGAAUUCAGUGAAUCAUCGAGUCUUUGAACGCACAUUGCGCCCCCUGGCAUUCCGGGGGGCAUGCCUGUCCGAGCGUCAUUGCUGCCCAUCAAGCCCGGCUUGUGUGUUGGGUCGUCGUCCCCCCCGGGGGACGGGCCCGAAAGGCAGCGGCGGCACCGUGUCCGGUCCUCGAGCGUAUGGGGCUUUGUCACCCGCUCGAUUUAGGGCCGGCCGGGCGCCAGCCGACGUCCAACCAUUUUUCUUCAGGUUGACCUCGGAUCAGGUAGGGAUACCCGCUGAACUUAAGCAUAUCAAUAAGCGGAGGAAAAGAAACCAACCGGGAUUGCCCCAGUAACGGCGAGUGAAGCGGCAAGAGCUCAAAUUUGAAAUCUGGCCCCUCCGGGGUCCGAGUUGUAAUUUGCAGAGGAUGCUUCGGGUGCGGCCCCUGUCUAAGUGCCCUGGAACGGGCCGUCAGAGAGGGUGAGAAUCCCGUCUUGGGCAGGGUGCC